rnacentral:tRNA from 1 species
GGGCCGGUAGCUCAGUUUGGAAUGAGCGCCUGCUUCGCAAGCGGGAGUUCAAUGUUGCUGACUCGAGGCCGCGGGUUCAAAUCCCGCCCGGUCCA